rnacentral:rRNA from 1 species
UUUGCUUGUCCUAAAGCACAGGUGAAUAAGGGGGGGCAAGUCUGUGUCAGCCGCUGCGGUAAUACCAGCACCUCGAGUGGUCAGGACGUUUAUUGGGCCUAAAGCAUCCGUAGCCGGCUCUGCAAGUCUCCGGUUAAAUCCACCUGCUCAACAGAUGGGCCGCUGGAGAUACUAUAGAGCUAGGGAGUGGGAGAGGCAGACGGUAUUCAGUGGGUAGGGGUAAAAUCCUCUGAUCCAUCGAGGACCACCAGUGGCGAAGGCGGUCUGCCAGAACACGUUCGACGGUGAGGGAUGAAAGCUGGGGGAGCAAACCGGAUUAGAUACCCGGGUAGUCCCAGCUGUAAACGACGCAAACUCGGUGAUGCAUUGGCUUAUGGCCAAUGCAGUGCCGCAGGGAAGCCGUUAAGUUUGCCGCCUGGGAAGUACGGACGCAAGUCUGAAACUUAAAGGAAUUGGCGGGGGAGCACCACAAGGGGUGAAGCCUGCGGUUCAAUUGGAGUCAACGCCAGGAAUCUUACCCGGGGAGACAGCAGAAUGAAGGUCAAGCUGAAGACUUUACCAGACAAGUGAGAGGAGUGCAUGCA